rnacentral:rRNA from 1 species
CCAGCUCCAAUAGCGUAUAUUAAAGUUGUUGCAGUUAAAACGCUCGUAGUCGAACUUUAGACAAGGCCGACCGGUCUGCCGUCAGGCAGGACUGGACGUGCCGCGUCUCUUUAUCGGGGAACUAGGGGCGAAAGUCUCAGGGAACCGAGGAUUACUGUGAAGAAAUUAGAGUGUUUAAAGCAGGCGUUUGCUUGAAUACGUUAGCAUGGAAUAAUAAGAUAGGACCAUGGUUCUAUUUUAUUGGUUUGAGGACCAAGGUAAUGAUUAAUAGGGACAGUUGGGGGCAUUAGUAUUCAGUAGUCAGAGGUGAAAUUCUUGGAUUUACUGAAGACUAACUAAUGCGAAAGCAUUUGCCAAGGAUGUUUUCA